rnacentral:tRNA from 1 species
GGACCCGUAGCUCAGGUGGAUUGAGAGCGCAGGCUUGCGGAGCCUGAGGUCGCACGUUCGAGUCGUGCCGGGUUCA